UACGAACACACACACAGGUAAAACGAAAUGAAUCGGCGCUAAACAUUGCCCGUACAGGUGACUCUCGCUCUUCAUUACCUGCUUCCUGGUUGGUGGUCACGCCAGGCUCACUUUCACUACCGGGGACGUGGGAGAAUGGGAAGGUGGGGAGGUUGGGAGUGAGGGGAGGAGGAAGGGGGGGAGGGGAGUUGCAGCGGGGAUUAGAUGACACAAGAGUUGGGGUUGCUUUCAAGGGGAUGACCAUAAGGAAGAGGAGGAGGAAGGGGAAGGGAAGCGAGGUAAGGAGAGAAAGAAAGGGAAGAAGGAUGUGGAAGUAUGAAGGGAUUGAAGGAAUGGAGGAGGAUGGGAAGAGAGGUAAGGAGAGAGGGAAAGGGAAGAAGGAAGGGGAAGAAUGAAGGGAUUGAAGGAAUGGAGGAGGAAGGCAAGAGAGGUAAGGAGAGAGAAAGGGAAGAAGGAAGGGAAAGGGAAGCAAAGAAGAAAAGCAAAUAAGAAUACAAAAAAAAAAGAUAGAGAGAAAACUUACUGGACAUAGGAAGAGAGGGAGGAGACAAGAGAGGAAGAAUAGGGAGAGGGAAAGGGAGAAAGGGAGGAUAUAGGGAGGAAUAAAAAAGGGGAAGUAAGGCUGGAUUAAGGGGGGAAGGAGGGAGAGGAUUUGGAGGGGGAGGAACCUGGGGAUUUGUGGGGAUUACGUGUAUGCAGUGCUGUGGCUGGGGAGGAAAGGGGAGGGGAAGGGAAGGAAGAGAAAUAGGAGAAGGACAUGGAGGAGAGGAAGGGGUAGGGUUUGGGUGGAGAGAAAAAGGAAUGGAGGUGAGGAAGAGGAGAGAAGGGAAGGGAAGGGAAAAGGUAAUGUAAGAGAAAGGGAGAGGGGAGGGAGGGGAAAGAGAAGGUAGGGAAAGGGAAGGAAAG